AUGGCCACAAGAUCCCACAAAACUCGUUCCCACUACACAUCUAGCUGCCUCCUGCGACUCCCUUCUCGUCCCCUUCCUUCACCCUUCUCCUCUCUCCCGUGGACUCUGAGAAGCCAGACUCUUCUCUACUGUGCUAAGACUGCAGGCCUCAUCUGCCAAACUGAGGCAGUAACACUCAACUCAGGAGAUGGCUGCGAGGACUGAAGACACCUGGGCCAGCACUGUGUCCUCUGCUCCCUGUUUGCCGUGGUUGUAGCCUACUGCUCCACUACACCAGUGGGUCUCACCACAAGCUCAGAAUCAACAGGACCAAAGACCCUGGACUGAAGACUAUGAAACCAUGAGCUACGAAAGUCUCUCCUCUUAAGUUGUUGAUGUUGGAGGGUUCGAUAUAGUUAUGGAGAAUCUGAUGCACACCCUUAGAACUCCGUACUAAGUGGAGAGAAGUUCCCAACCUCACCCUCCUGGUUCUCAGAAGGGGAGAGCCCUGACUGCUUUGAGGAUGAAGGCAGGGGAUGAGUAUAUUUACCUUUACACACUCAGCAUACUUUACACAUGCUUUUGAUUAA